AAUAAAUGUCUUACAUUUAGCCAUCUUUUUGAGGAGAUUGUAUUACAUGUGUGAACCCUUUAACGAUGAGGAGCAAAACCUUCAUUUAAUGCGUGUUCUGUAUAUUAUUUUGAAUGAUACUUCAGAAAAGAAUUGGACGUUAGUCAAAUAAUUUAGUCAAAAUAAAGCAUAUACUUUUUUUCAAUAAGACAAUGACGUGAUUGUAGUUCUGAAACGCAAUUAAAGGACAUGUUAUACUUUUUAUUUGUUAUCCAUUAAUAAUUUUCCAGUGAAAAAUGGUUGUGGUCAAAAUUCCAAGAGUAUUAUAUUAAAACUAUUAUAACAACU
rnacentral:lncRNA from 1 species